rnacentral:rRNA from 1 species
CCAACAGGAUUGCCUCAGUAACGGCGAGUGAAGCGGCAAAAGCUCAAAUUUGAAACCACUUUGGUGGGUUGUAAUUUGAAGAUUGUAUUCUGGAGACGACCACGUCUAUGUUCCUUGGAACAGGACGUCACAGAGGGUGAGAAUCCCGUGCGACGUGGCCACCGUCUCUCUAUAGAAUGCUCUCGACGAGUCGAGUUGUUUGGGAAUGCAGCUCAAAGUGGGUGGUAAAUUCCAUCUAAAGCUAAAUAUUGGCGAGAGACCGAUAGCGAACAAGUACAGUGAUGGAAAGAUGAAAAGCACUUUGAAAAGAGAGUGAAACAGUACGUGAAAUUGUUGAAAGGGAAGGGCAUGCCGUCAGAUUGCCAGUAUCGAUUGCCAGGGAGGAUAAAGCUAAGGACGUGGCUCGGUGUAUAGCCUUAGCAAUACCUCACUAGCGAUCGAGGACUGCUUUAGGAUACUGGCGUAAUGACGGUACGCCGCCGUCUUGAACACGGUACCCG